GAUGAACGCUGGCGGCGUGCCUAAUACAUGCAAGUCGAGCGAACGGACGAGGAGCUUGCUUCUCUGAUGUUAGCGGCGGACGGGUGAGUAACACGUGGAUAACCUACCUAUAAGACUGGGAUAACUUCGGGAAACCGGAGCUAAUACCGGAUGAUAUUUUGAACCGCAUGGUUCAAAAGUGAAAGACGGUCUUGCUGUCACUUAUAGAUGGAUCCGCGCUGCAUUAGCUAGUUGGUAAGGUAACGGCUUACCAAGGCAACGAUGCAUAGCCGACCUGAGAGGGUGAUCGGCCACACUGGAACUGAGACACGGUCCAGACUCCUACGGGAGGCAGCAGUAGGGAAUCUUCCGCAAUGGGCGAAAGCCUGACGGAGCAACGCCGCGUGAGUGAUGAAGGUCUUCGGAUCGUAAAGCUCUGUUAUUAGGGAAGAACAUAUGUGUAAGUAACUGUGCACGUCUUGACGGUACCUAAUCAGAAAGCCACGGCUAACUACGUG
rnacentral:rRNA from 1 species